rnacentral:rRNA from 1 species
UACGUGGGGUGCAAGCGUUGUCCGGAAUUAUUGGGCGUAAAGAGCUCGUAGGCGGUUUGUCGCGUCUGCUGUGAAAACUCGGGGCUUAACCCCGGGCCUGCAGUGGGUACGGGCAGACUAGAGUGCGGUAGGGGAGACUGGAAUUCCUGGUGUAGCGGUGAAAUGCGCAGAUAUCAGGAGGAACACCGGUGGCGAAGGCGGGUCUCUGGGCCGUAACUGACGCUGAGGAGCGAAAGCGUGGGGAGCGAACAGG